GAUGAACGCUGGCGGCGUGCCUAAUACAUGCAAGUCGAGCGAACAGAUAAGGAGCUUGCUCCUUUGACGUUAGCGGCGGACGGGUGAGUAACACGUGGGUAACCUACCUAUAAGACUGGAAUAACUCCGGGAAACCGGGGCUAAUGCCGGAUAACUUUUAGAACCGCAUGGUUCUAAAGUGAAAGAUGGUUUUGCUAUCACUUAUAGAUGGACCCGCGCCGUAUUAGCUAGUUGGUAAGGUAACGGCUUACCAAGGCAACGAUACGUAGCCGACCUGAGAGGGUGAUCGGCCACACUGGAACUGAGACACGGUCCAGACUCCUACGGGAGGCAGCAGUAGGGAAUCUUCCGCAAUGGGCGAAAGCCUGACGGAGCAACGCCGCGUGAGUGAUGAAGGUCUUCGGAUCGUAAAACUCUGUUAUUAGGGAAGAACAAAUGUGUAAGUAACUGUGCACGUCUUGACGGUACCUAAUCAGAAAGCCACGGCUAACUACGUG
rnacentral:rRNA from 1 species